GAUGAACGCUGGCGGCGUGCCUAAUACAUGCAAGUCGAGCGAACAGAUGAGGAGCUUGCUCCUCUGACGUUAGCGGCGGACGGGUGAGUAACACGUGGAUAACCUACCUAUAAGACUGGGAUAACUUCGGGAAACCGGAGCUAAUACCGGAUAAUAUAUUGAACCGCAUGGUUCAAUAGUGAAAGACGGUUUUGCUGUCACUUAUAGAUGGAUCCGCGCCGCAUUAGCUAGUUGGUAAGGUAACGGCUUACCAAGGCAACGAUGCGUAGCCGACCUGAGAGGGGGAUCGGCCACACUGGAUCUGAGACACGGUCCAGACUCCGACGGGAGGCAGCAGUAGGGAAUCUUCCGCAAUGGGCGAAAGCCUGACGGAGCAACGCCGCGUGAGUGAUGAAGGUCUUCGGAUCGUAAAACUCUGUUAUUAGGGAAGAACAAAUGUGUAAGUAACUAUGCACGUCUUGACGGUACCUAAUCAGAAAGCCACGGCUAACUACGUG
rnacentral:rRNA from 1 species